rnacentral:rRNA from 1 species
GAUAAACGCUAGCGGCAGGCCUAACACAUGCAAGUCGAGGGGUAGCAGGAUUAAGCUUGCUUAAUUGCUGACGACCGGCGCACGGGUGCGUAACGCGUAUGCAACCUACCUUAUACUGGGGUAUAGCCCGGAGAAAUUCGAAUUAAUCCCCCAUAGUACUAAUGAAUCGCAUGGUUUAUUAGUUAAAGCAUUGCGGUAUAAGAUGGGCAUGCGUCCUAUUAGCUAGAUGGUGAGGUAACGGCUCACCAUGGCUACGAUAGGUAGGGGGCCUGAGAGGGUGGUCCCCCACACUGGUACUGAGACACGGACCAGACUCCUACGGGAGGCAGCAGUGAGGAAUAUUGGUCAAUGGGCGCAAGCCUGAACCAGCCAUGCCGCGUGCAGGAAGAAUGCCCUAUGGGUUGUAAACUGCUUUUAUUUGGGAAUAAACCUCUUUACGUGUAGAGAGCUGAAGGUACCAAAUGAAUAAGCACCGGCUAACUCCGUGCCAGCAGCCGCGGUAA